GUAGGUGGCAAGCGUUGUCCGGAAUUAUUGGGCGUAAAGCGCGCGUAGGCGGUCCUUUAAGUCUGAUGUGAAAGCCCACGGCUCAACCGUGGAGGGUCAUUGGAAACUGGGGGACUUGAGUACAGAAGAGGAAAGCGGAAUUCCAAGUGUAGCGGUGAAAUGCGUAGAGAUUUGGAGGAACACCAGUGGCGAAGGCGGCUUUCUGGUCUGUAACUGACGCUGAGGCGCGAAAGCGUGGGGAGCAAACAGGAUUAGAUACCCUGGUAGUCCACGCCGUAAACGAUGAGUGCUAAGUGUUAGGGGGUUUCCCGCCCCCCUUAGUGCUGCAGCUAACGCAUUAAGCACUCCGCCUGGGGGAGUACGGCCGCAAGGCUG
rnacentral:rRNA from 1 species